rnacentral:lncRNA from 1 species
GGCACCAGUGAGAAUUACAAUGUCAUUUUCGAGGGACCUCGUGAAGGCAGCGAGGCUGGCCCUGGUCUCAACAACGUUGUCACCCAGGAGCUCCCUGGGACGCACGGUAUGAUCAGGAGCUUUUGAUUAUGCGCCACUGCUUCUUCUCCGUUUGUUAAUGUUGCAGGCCUCCAAGAUACGUACUGCUGCCUGAGGAACGGCUUUGGAUGUGUUCAGGAGUGCGACUCCAACAUCAAAUACUACUGCUGCUUGAAGACUGGAUUCGGCAACUGCCUACAGCUCUGCGACUCGUCCAAGGAACAAUACUGCUGCAAAAGGAACGGCUUUGGGAUCUGCACUGGAUUGUGCCCCAAAACCGUGGACCUGAUGAUGUGAUCCGCGUUUGAUGAAAAGUGUAUGCAACAUCUGGAAUCAAAAGCUUAUAAUUGCUGAUACUCUUUACAAAAUUUUCACUAGACAUUUACGUUUUUCAACUGAGUUUGUAAGUUCCCUUUUAGCAUAGCUUGCCAUGCCACUGCUGCUGGAUCGUCCAUCGGGAAACAAGUAGAACUGGAGGCGUUACAAUCCCCUUUGAACAAAGUCUCAGUGCCUGAUUUAAGUAAAUUGUAAGAGAAAAAAAACUAGGAAGCUGUUACAGUCCACACGUGAAAGGCUCUAAGAAUGCCACCUUUGGUUUCUCAAUUGUCUAGCGCAUAAUGCAUCGUCUCAAUGACACUGGACGCGCCAUUGUCCACCAAGCUCGAAUUACACUGAGCUUUACCACCCUAGGAGCAAACCUCGCAAGAGUCUCAGUUCUACUUGUCAGUCUUCCUCCCAAUGGACGCCAUGGAACUAUCCAGCAGCGGUGGCAUGGCGAGCUACGCGAAAACCUGUCCGGAAAGGAGCGUAGCUUUGUGUGGUCGACCAACACGGGCCUCGAUAGCUCUGGAAAUCUUGUAAUCCGGAGCAAAACUGGAACUUUGCUGUGGCAGAGCUUUGAUCAUCCCGGUGAUGUUAUGCUAGGAUGGUUUCGGAUCGUGUCUUCAGGAGUGCGACUCAGGCGUCAAUUAUUACUGCUGCCUUAAGAAUGGAUUGGGCAGCUAUUUGCAGCUGUGCGACUCGUCCAAGGAACACUACUGCUGCAAGAAGAACGGUUUUUGUUCCUGAGUUGGAAUGUUCCCCAAAACGGUGAAUCUGAUGUGAAUUUGCUUGAUGAACAUGUGAAUGCAUUCUGGAAUUAUCAAAAGGAUAAAUUGCUUCUGUGACAACCUUUCACAUUAACAAAACAGAUUUUACACCAUUUGCCAUCAGUAUAAAACAAUAUAAUCAUCUUCUGGGCUUAGCGCCACCAUUGCCUUUGCUCGCAGACUUGCCACCUUUGCCUUUGUUCGCAGGCUUGCCACGUUUGCCUUUGCUCGCACCUUUGCCACCCGUUUUACCACCUUUUCCACCACCUUUGCCAGGCUUGCCACUUCCUCGGGAUCGUGAAUCCUUCUUCAUGCGACGAUCCACCACAAGCUUCCCUUUGCCACCCUUGACCCCGCCCUUCUUCGCCACAACGAGCUCCCGCUUGGGACGCUUAGUGGUCGUCGCCGCCGCUUUCUUGUAAACCUUGUCCAUCAUCCUGUUCUUGGACUUGUUCGAGAUGUUCGGCUGAUCGGCAAUCGCCGCCGCUUUGCUCCGUGCUUGCUCCAUUUUCUUCAUCACCCUCCGCUUCUUGUGAGCCUUGGCCUCAGCAACCUUCUUCACGGGCCUCGCGUUUAUCGCUCUAAACUGAGCCCUCAUCGCCUGGACCUCUUCCUUGGUGAAUGCCGCUUCUCGUCGUCCGCGAACCAUUCCGGAAGCCCCUCGUCGUCGAACAUGUACUUGUUGUACGCGUCGUCGAUGAUCCUGUCCCUGUCCUUCUUCAGCAGUAUCUUCUUGGCGUAAGUGAGGAUCUCUGCCUUGGCAUCGCUGUCGUAGUCCUCCUCUUCGUCCGAGGAAGAGUCAGACGAACCACUCGGCUCGGCUGCUACAACUUCAAAGUCUUCCCGUGCUCUCUUGAGAUUUCCUGGCGCAACCGUGAGAUCGCUCGGAGGAGCGUUCUUGGCAGUCUUCUUGGUAUCCAUCUCCUGGGUUUGAUCUAAACCGGCGAAGACGUUUUGCCUGAACCAUUGCUGUGCAAUCUGUUCCUUCGAGAGCUUGGCCUUGGGAAGCGACACGACGAGAGGAUUGGCCUCCUCCUCCUCUUCUUCUACUUCGUUUUCUUCUUCUUCAGAAGCAUUCUCUUCCACGUCCUCCUAAGGAUAUUGUCAGCUGCUUGCAAGUUCUAACACUUUCAUUUGGCUUACCUCCCACAGCUUUUCGUCUCCUGCAUUAGCCAUUCUUGCGCGUUUCCGCCGUGCAGUGUUGCUUUCAGUCUUGCCCGGUAGCGUUCGUAUGCACAAUCGAGGAAAGAUUCCAGCUCGUCGUUGUAUCUGCGAGAGAUUACGUUAACACUUCCAAGGCGUAGUUCUUACCUUUCGCGCUCGACGUCAGAAUCCACAUCAUUGUCUUCGUCAUCCUUCCGCUCCAUGUCCUGCUUACUCGUUUCAUCCUUCACAUUGUCAUCGCUGUCUAACAUGUCGUCAUCCGCACCUUCGACCCGAUCCAAGCUUUUCUUCACCUGGAAAAAUGUAUCCAACACGAGCUCAUAGGCACUGACGAGAAAGCGGACAAACAUACCUUGAUUGAGCCCAAAGAGAACAGAUCCCGCUCGCCAUAAGUGUCUCCCAAGACAUCGACUUGCAUCCCUGUUCUAUUUCGUGCGUUAGUGUUGUGGCCCAUCAACAUACACCACCAACAAAAGAUAGACAAACAAUAUGUACCUUCUGUUUUCGCUUGGCAGCCUUCUUCUUCGCCUGCUUGCUUUUCGAAUCCAUUAGAGACUUGAGCUCCUUCAUUUUGUUUAGCGUAUCCUCGUCUUCAUCUUCUUCUUUUUCGUCGUCAUCCUUUUCAGCAGCCUUAUCACCCUCUGUUUCCUCCGAAGCUGACGUUUUCGAAAGAGCUUUUCGUACAUGCAGGCACCACCUGAGAGAACCAAAUGAGCAUGAAAGACAACAGCCACAAGAAGUAGAACCUACUUCAAAAGUUGCUUGAAUUCUUUCUUCCCCAGAACUCUAAGGUCUUCGCAUAAUGCCUUUAUCUACAAGAAAAAAGUCCUCCAAAUCAAAACAAGCAAACGAGGAUUAGAUAUGAACGUACCUCGUCAGUUGUUUCAGCGUGGUCUUUGAUUGGCGGAUCCUCAAACGAAAUAGACGUGAUGCUACCAAGAAGCUCUAGAGGUUUUUCGGACCAGACGAAGUCUGCUGCCGUGCAGUCUUUACGAAAAGGAGGAGCAAAGCGGAGGAGCACAAAGAGGCGAUGAAGGCCAAAGCGGGAGAGGCCGAGGAGCACGGCAGGGACUGCUUGAGUCGGUGGGCUAGGCUGUGAGUCACGCGGCCUUCUCGCUGAAGGGCGCCGUUGUGGGUGGCAGCGGGAAACGGUCGAGAAGUCUUCCGAAGAGGCCGAUAGUGCCAACCGAGGAAAAAUGUGAAGAAUUGAGUGUGCUUAGUUAAUUAAUAAGCCAUAGCUUUUGUCGUUGAUCUCAUUACAAAUUAUUGAAUUACUUACCUGCACAUAUGAAAAUCUUGGCUGAGAUUGCGAAGCCCGUUCUGCUGUUCAGCAGCUUCCGUGAUCGCUGUCCAUGAAUUCCGUAUGAUCUCGAAGCACUCCUCCCCCUCCCUCUGGGAUAAAACACUUACAAAAACCCGGAAAAACUUUCAAUGCCAACCUUGAAAGCGUUCGAGACGAUGUCAUAGUACGUAGUGUAUGGAACAAUGUUCUCGAACUGUAGUAUCGGUGCUGACGACGCGAGAGCUCCGAUCGCAAUGUGCGGAUACUUCAGCCGAAACCACGCAGCCAACACUGAAAAAAGCUUGUGAGAACCUCCAAAGAAAAUCUCAUUGAAACCACCUUACUUCCACCAUAAGAACCGCCAAAGACCACCACUGGCGAUGCUUGCGCUGAGAGAUUCCUCUUGAGAUCAAGUAUGAGCGUCGCGAAAUCGGCCAGAGCUUGCUCGGCAGAGCAAAAUGCCAGUUCCUUAGGACCGUUUUGGCCUCCAAAAGGCUGUGAUUUUCCAUAGAAUCGGUGCUACAAUCACAGAAAGAGAGAGAGAGAGAUUGAUCGAAGGAAAGAAGAACGAGAAAGAACAAAAACCAACCUCCGGGAAGACGAGCAGUGCUCUAAAGAGAUGAGCAAUAUCAAACAUAAACCCAGUGUUCUCGGCAAACCACACAAUGUCGCCCUUGUUACCACAGUAGACCAAGAUGGGAGCUCCACUGGCACCUCCACUCCACGAGGCACUGUGGAGGAGAUAGUGCUGAACUAAUACUUAAACAAUGUAUUGCGGAUACUUAAACAAUGUAUUGCGGAUGUCGUCAUCUGUGAGAUUUGGUAUAAUAUUAGUAGAGAUAUGAUAAUCUGAGCUUCGCUCAUCUGCCUGGAAACGCACAAGCGAUCAGCAAGACUAGAUCCACAAUAAUACUUAGGCGAAGCCUUCUUUCAAGGCAAGCAGCAGCGCAGCUCCUCUUCUCAGCAAUUGCAUGCGAUGAUGGUGAUGAGUUCUUGUUCGCCAUUCCUUUGCGUUUACCUGAAUCAGGAGGGCAAUCGCUGCCAGGAGCAAGAGCGCGCAGCUCCUCGCCAUUUUUAUCCCUAAAGUCGUCAAAAAGUGGAGCUAAGGGACUACUUUACUGUGUAAUUAAUUUAAACCUGUAAGUAAUCAAAAUAUCUCUCGGGUCACGUACGGGGAUGCCAGUUUUCCCGUACUCUCCGUUCCUUUAGUCCAGGCUUUUCCAUUCAAUAUCGGGUUGUUGCUCUCCAGAAUACUUUAAUCUCUGGUCCUGCAAUUUUGUCACUGCAAUGGAACUAACAAGUUUCAUUCAGCGCAGAUUUCCAUCAGCCUAGUAGCGACAUUCCCUUCAUUUCUGAAUAGUAGCCAAUCAGCUUAAGCAUGGACGUCCCACGCGAUGCACGCAGGCAUUGCCCAGCAGCAGCGCAUAUAAACAGAUGCAAGCUUGAAAUUGUAGCUCUAAAGUUUCAGUUCAAUGGCGAAAUUGCUUGUUCUUUUCUCCCUCCUCUUCGGCCUGCUGCUCUUGGCAACCGAUGCAUCUCGCAACACUCAGCGUACGUGCGAACUUCUGCAUUGCAAUUUCAAAUCUGUGGAAUCCAUAUGCAGCGGUUGACAAGGAGGGCACCAGUGAGAAUUACAAUGUCAUUGUCGAGGGACCUCGUGAAGGCAGCGAGGCUGGCCCUGGUCUCAACAACUUUGUCACCCAGCAGCUCCCUGGGAAGCACGGUAUGAUCAGGAGCUUUUGUUAUGCCCCACUGUUUCUCCGUUUGUUUAUGCUGCAGGCCUCCAAGAUACAUACUGUUGCCGGAAGGAUGCUUUCGGAUCAUGUCUUCAGGAGUGCGACUCGGGCGUCAAUUACUACUGCUGCCUCAAGAAUGGAUUGGGCGGCUGUUUGCAGCUGUGCGACUCGUCCAAGAAACACUACUGCUGCAAGAAGAACCCUUUUGGUACCUGCCUUGGAAUGUGCCCCAAAACGUUGAAUCUGAUGGAUUUUGCUUGAUGAACAUGUGUGACUGCAUUCUGGAAUUAUCAAAAGAAUAAAUUGCUUCUGUGACAACCUUUCACUUUAACAAAACACCAUUUGCCAUCAGUGUAAAACAAUAUAAUCAUCUUCUGGGCUUAGCGCCACCAUUGCCUUUGCUCGCAGGCUUGCCACCUUUGCCUCUGUUCGCAGGCUUGCCACGUUUGCCUUUGCUCGCACCUUUGCCACCCGUUUUACCACCUUUUCCACCGCCUUUGCCAGGCUUGCCACUUCCUCGGGAUCGUGAGUCCUUCUUCAUGCGACGAUCCACCACAAGCUUCCCUUUGCCACCCUUGACCCUCACGCCCUUCUUCGCCACAACGAGCUCCCGCUUGGGACGCUUAUUGGUCGUCGCCGCCGCUUUCUUGUAAACCUUGUCCAUCAUCCUGUUCUUGGACUUGUUCGAGAUGUCCGGCUGAUCGGCAAUCGCCGCCGCUUUGCUCCGUGCUUGCUCCAUUUUCUUCAUCACCCUCCGCUUCUUGCGAGCCUUGGCCUCAGCAACCUUCUUCACGGGCCUCGCGUCUAUCGCUCUAAACUGAGCCCUCAUCGCCUGGACCUCUUCCUUGGUGAAUGCCGCUUCUCGUCGUCCGCGAACCAUUCCGGAAGCCCCUCGUCGUCGAACAUGUACUUGUUGUACGCGUCGUCGAUGAUCCUGUCUCUGUCCUUCUUCCGCAGCAUCUUCUUGGCGUAAGUGAGGAUCUCUGCCUUGGCGUCGCUGUCGUAGUCCUCCUCUUCGUCCGAGGAAGAGUCGGACGAACCACUCGGCUCGGCUGCUACAACCUCAAAGUCUUCCCGUGCUCUCUUGAGCUUUCCUGGCGCAACCGUGACAUCGCUCGGAGGAGCGUCCUUGGCAGUCUUUGGUCCCUUGGUAUCCGUCUCCGGGGUUUGAUCUAAACCGGCGAAGAUGUCUUGACUGAACCAUUGCUGUGCAAUCUGUUCCUUCGAGAGCUUGGCCUUGGGAAGCGACACGACGAGAGGAUUGGCCUCCUCCUCCUCCUCUUCUUCUACUUCGUUUUCUUCUUCCUCAGAAGCAUUCUCUUCCACGUCCUCCUAAGGAUAUUGUCAGCUGCUUGCAAGUUCUAACACUUUCAUUUGGCUUACCUCCCACAGCUUUUCGUCUCCUGCAUUAGCCAUUCUUGCGCGUUUCCGCCGUGCAGUGUUGCUUUCAGUCUUGCUCCGGUAGCGUUCGUAUGCACGAUCGAGGAAAGAUUCCAGCUCGUCGUUGUAUCUGCGAGAGAUUACGUUAACACUUCCAAGGCGUAGUUCUUACCUUUCGCGCUCGACGUCAGAAUCCACAUCAUUGUCUUCGUCAUCCUUCUGCUCCAUAUCCUGCUUACUCGUUUCAUCCUUCACAUUGUCAUCGCUGUCUAACAUGUCGUCAUCCGCACCUUCGACCCGAUCCAAGCUUUUCUUCGCCUGGAAAAAUGUAUCCAACAGGAGCUCAUAGGCACUGACGAGAAAGCGGACAAACAUACCUUGAUUGAGCCCAAAGAGAACAGAUCCCGCUCGCCAUAAGUGUCUCCCAAGACAUCGACUUGCAUCCCUGUUCUAUUUCGUGCGUUUAGCUGCAGUGUUGUGGCCCAUCAACAUACACCACCAACAAAAGAUAGACAAACAAUAUGUACCUUCUGUUUACGCUUGGCAGCCUUCUUCUUCGCCUGCUUGCUUUUCGAAUCCAUUAGAGACUUGAGCUCCUCCAUUUUCUUUAGCAUAUCCUCGUCUUCAUCUUCUUCUUUUUCGUCGUCAUCCUUUUCAGGAGCCCUAUCACCCUCUGUUUCCUCCGAAGCUGACGUUUUCGAAAGAGCUUUUCGUACAUGCAGGCACCACCUGAGAGAACCAAAUGAGCAUGAAAGACAACAGCCACGAGAAGUAAAACUUACUUCAACAGUUGCUUGAAUUCUUUCUUCCCCAGAACUCUAAGGUCUUCGCAUAAUGCCUUUAUCUACAGGACAAAGUCCUCCCAAUCAAAACAAGAAAACGAGGAAUAGAUAUGAACGUACCUCGUCAGUUGUUUCAGCGUGGUCUUUGAUUGGCGAACUUUUGGGAUCCUCAAACGAAAUAGACGUGAUGCUACCAAGAAGCUCUAGAGGUUUUUCGGACCAGACGAAGUCUGCUGCCGUGCAGUCUUUACGAAAGGUAGUGUUAGCAUCAUCGUAUCUGCAGGAAAAGAAAAACAUAAAACCAAGAGUCUAUUUGACGUGAGAACCCACCCCUCGCGGUGACGUUUCUGUUUACUACUACGAAGAACGUCGAUCACCUACACAAUUUACUCGGCUUUAGCGCAAGCACCUUGUUUACAAUACCAAAACCCACCUUUGGGGGCUGAGGAAUCUCUUCAAAUAAAAAGCGAGGGUCCAAGUUACGCGGAUCGAUUUUCACGGGUGCCAGAUACUUGAGACCAACCACGUAUAUUUCAGCCGAUGUCGAACGACUUGCUAUGGGUUUCGUGACUUCCACCUUGGCAAACAGCUACCAAACGAUACAAGAGGCAAUGAAUUAUCACUCAAAAAACCAUGACAAACAUACCUGUUCAAAUGCAUACUUCAGCGCGUUAUAAUCUUGGGAUCGAAAAACCUGCAAGAAAAAACCAAUUUUGGGAAUCAGAGAAGAAGGAAAAAUUCAAAAGUGGAGGAAGAAAAGGAAUUCCUCGUACCUUGGUGACAAACGUUCCUUUGGGAGCCAGAAACUUGGUAGCCAACUUCAAAGAAUCCAGGACAAGAGACGACUGCGUCAUGGCUUCUUUGGCCCAGGCACCUCCCACAUUGGGGGAGCCAUCGUGGAGCACAACAUCGACCAUCCUCAACCCAUUCUGGUCGAGAAUCUUCCCAAUAUCGGACGCGCAUUUUGGAGUGGUGAUAUCGCCCUGGAGCGACAGCGCCCCUCUCACGGGGCGAAUCGGCACCAGAUCCACGCCGAUUAUCACAGACCUCACGGGCAUCUUCUCCACGGCCACCUGCAUCCAUCCCCCGGGCGCCGCGCACAAAUCCAGCACCGAGUGCGCCGAGCUGAGGAAGCCAUACUUGCGAUCGAGCUGCACGAGCUUGAAUGCGGCACGGGAGCGGUAGCCCUGCUCCUUGGCGAGGUAGUAGAAGCGAUCCAAGCGGUGCUUCCCCUUCUUCGCCUUCCCCAUCCCUGCAAGACCUAAAACCCUACGAGGAACCCUAAAACCCCACUUUAGGUUUACAAUAAAUAUUCUGGUGGAUAUUCGAGCACUUUUAUAAUGCGUACAUUCAUAAAGUCUUCCCUUCUUGGGUGAUAUACGAGGUAGUUACCUUAAGCAUGCAUCGCGUGGGGAUGGGGACGCCCACGCGAUGCAUGCAGGCAUUCCCCCUUUAUAAACAGAUGCAGAACUUUGUAUUGUCAAGCAUAAUAUUUCUGGUUUCAGUUCAAGGAGAAUGGCCAAAGUUCUUCUUUCCACCCUCCUCUUUGGCCUGCUGCUCUUCGUAGCUGAUGCAUCUCGCAACACUCAGCGUACGUGCAAACACUUCCGCAUUCGUGCAAAUCGUUUCUCUAACCUGCAGAAUGGUUCUAGUGACUGGCAGGGAGAGCGAUGUGACUUACGUCGUCGAGGGGCCUCGUGAAGGUAACGAGGCUGCUGAUCUCAAUGUUGUCAUCCGGAACACCCCGAAACACGGUAACUUAGAUCACGUUAUGAUCUUCCUUGUAGCUGUCCUUGUGACAUUGAUUAUGCCACUGCUUUUCCGUUUUUGAUGAUUGCAGGCCUCCAAGAUACAUACUGCUGCCUGAGGAACGGCUUUGGAUGUCUUCAGGAGUGCGACUCCAACAUCAAUUACUACUGCUGCCUGAAGAAUGGAUUCGGAUGCCUACAGCUCUGCGAGCCCAACGUUAAUUAUUUCUGCUGCCUCAAGGAUGGAUUUGGCAGCUGCCAGCAGCUCUGCGACUCAUCCAAGGAACACUACUGCUGCAAAAAGAACGGCUUUGGGACCUGCACUGGAAUGUGCCCCAAA